UUUAAAUAGAGGAGCUGAUUGACGCGGUGAUUGGAGGCAGGUGUGGGUGAUCAGUAUUCAGGGGAGAGAGAGGGUUGAGUGUAAGUGGCAGGAGGGUCAGAUGGAUCUGUGACAUUACCCCCCUCCACGGACCGCUCCAGAGGGAUGCGCUUCCCGACGCCAUGGCCGACCCCAUUAGGGGGUUUUUAGGGUGUGUGUCGUGGAAGUUGGAGAGUAGGGUCGAGUCCAGGAUGUUGUCUCGAGGAAUCCAAGAUCUUUCCUCAGGGCCAUAACCUUCCCAAUCUAUGAGGUACUCGAGAUGACCCCUGCGGCAGCGGGAGUCCAGAAUGUCUCGGACAGCGUCUUCCAGGAUAAGCGGCUGUAUAAGAAGAAACUCGAAGCAGCAGGGGAAGUGGAAGACCGGAUGUAUCCUUGCCUGAGGGCCUCCUCGAUAUAAUCCUCCAUGGCCUUCUGCUCGGGAAUGGAAAGAGGGUAGAUUUUGCCACAGGGCACUGGCUCACCGGGGAUGAGGUCUAUUGCGCAGUCCCAUGGUCAAUGAGGAGGUAGCUGAGAGGCCCGCAAGUGGGAAUAGCAGGAAGAGAUCUCCACAGAGGUAGAACUGGCAGGGCUCUCGAUGGUGGUUGUGUUGAGAUUGAGAGGGAGAGAUUUCCUGACAGAAACUUUGGGUCUGGGAGUGAGACGGUUUUGGAAACAGGAAGCAAAGCAUUGGGACCCCCACUUCAGGACGUCACCGGUAGACAAGGAGAUGACAGGGGAAUGUUGUAUGAAUAUGUAUCUGCGGCGGAACACUCUAGAACCAGUAGGGUAAUGUCCUUGCUGUGCAACCAUCCCACCUGGAGUUUGAAUGGACCCACACAGUGACUUAUGAUGCCUUUUCCCAAGGGCUUGCAGAUUAUGGAGUGAAUUUGGAGCUUGGGGUCACAAGGUUGCCUUUGGAGUUGGAGUUGGUGGCAGAGUGCGUCCGAGAUAAAUUUGCUGGCUGAGCCAGAGUUGAGGAGUGCGGAUACUGAAAGAGAAAAACUAUGAGCAGUAAGCGUAACAUUGGUUAACAAAGGAGAGGUACAGACCCUUGUAGUGUUUAUGUGACUCACCAGUGGAUGGGGAGGUCGAAUGGGACACGCAGAGAUUACGUGUCCCUUUCACCACAGUACAGGCACAGACCCUGGUUCAGCCUAUGUUGGCGUUCUGCCGAGGUCAGUUGAAAGGCAUCCAUCUGCAUGGACUCCCUGUUUGUUUCUGGAGAGUGGUAAGGGGACCUUCGUGGAGGGAAAGGCAGAGACUGCAAGGCGGGAGACUCAUCGAGGCAGUUCUUCAUGCAGUUGGCUACUCGGAUGGAGAGUUGGAUGAAGUGCUCCAGCCCCAUGGUGUCAUCGUAGGAUGAGAGAUGCAGCUGCAGCUUCAGUUCAAGUCCUAGGCAAUAGGUGGUAAGCAGAGCGGGUUCAUUCCAACCACUAGAUGCUGCCUGAGUGUGGAACUUAAGGGUAUAGUCAUUGAUGGAACUCUGACCCCGACAAAGAUUAUGAAGUGUCACCCUCAGGGUGUCCAAAUACCUCCUAAAAGUGCUGGGUGAAGCUAUCCAGUGAUUGUGUUACCGGGCUAUUCUGAUCCCAAAGUGAACGGGCCCAUUGUAGUGCUCAUCCGGCCAGCAGGAAGAUGAUGUUGGCAACCUUCGCCUGCUCUGUGGGGAAUCGAUGUGGCUGCAUCUCAAGGGCGAGCAAACAUCUGAGCAGAAAGCUGCCACAGUCCUCCACUGAUCCAGAGUAGGGCGCUGGAUUGACCACGGAACUGGCGGAAUAGACUGGAGAAGAAAUUGCAGAAGUGCUGGGUGAGGUUGGAGAUGCUGAGGGGUUUGCAGAUAGCGUGAGUGCUCUCCGGAGAGCGUCAACCAGCUCCUGGAUGGGAUCCGGACCUGCUGGGUUCAUGGCUUUUGUUGGUCUGGUCUUCUGUUAUGAAUAACCAGACUCGAUGAUGGAGUUGAACCCAAUAGCAGGUGUUAAUUGAGACACAAACACAAACACAAACAAAGACAAGCAGGUGAGUUGUAAUUUAACAGUUCGGGGCUGACGUGAAGAUCAAUAGCGUGAUGAUGGCAGGGGCUGACUCUGGAGGUGAUUAUACUUAAGGUGGUGAAUACACAACUAAGGUGCUUACAUUGAGGAGAAGGAUAACAGGGAUCACUGGAGUGGAGGUGGAGAGGAAUCACGGAGAAGACGUAUGGAUACACAGGUAUGUGAGUCUAUGGAGAAUGAGGUUUAAAUAGAGGAGCUGAUUGACGCAGUGAUUGGAGGCAGGUGUGGGUGAUCAGUAUUCAGGGGAGAGAGAGGGUUGAGUGUAAGUGGCAGGAGGGUCAGAUGGAUCCGUGACAGUAGCCGGUCCUUCUUUUCUUUUUGUACGGACAUAAUACGAGCACGCAAAGACAAAUCUCAGAAGCGUGAAUUUUCCCACCAAAUUUAACCCGACAGCUCUAAAUCUUAUUGGUUGCCGUACCAUAGUGAUUUGGGGUAAGGCAAGAACGCUGUUUUGAACACAGAUGUUUUUUUUGUUUUUUUAUGUACUGGCUCAAUAAUGGUAUUUUAUUCAUAUCUAACAAAAAAUUUAAUGAGAAAUUCUCUGUACCUAUUAAAGAUUUAUUAUUAUUAUUAUUUAAAAAAGAACAACUAGAAUAAUGCAGUAAUAGGCAUUUUGUUUAUCUAUUAGUUGUUGUUUGGCUACUAUUUGUAAAGAAGUCACCUUCCUUUCAGGUCAGUCAUUUAUUUGGAUUUGGAUUUGGACAUGACCAAAAUGUGAAAUGUCCAUCCAUCCAUCCAUCCUCUAUAGCCGCUUGUCCUGUGUAGGAUCACAGGUAGUGCUGGAGCCUACAAAAGGUUAAACAUUUACUUUGUAAUUAGUUCAUCCAUUUCCAAAAUUUGUAACCAUUCAGGCUGAUUUGCAGGGUGAUUUUAAACAUUAUAGCCUGGUAUUAUCACAUUCAGAGGGUAAUCGACCAAUCAUAGUGCUGUAAGGAGGCACUUCCUCCUCUCAUGUGAUUUUUCCCUGUAUUUCGCUGUUAGUACCCCAUCACACUCAUGGCACUAGUGAUGGAAAAUCUGAUUCUUUUCUGCGAACUGGUUUUUCAGACAGUUUGUUACAAUGAACCGUUUUUAAAAAACUAUUCAACAGUUCUUUUAUGUCAUCGCAUAAUGGCAUCACUAGUACAUAAUGCUAUCAACCCGGUGUCGUGGAAUACACGUUCACAUUCAAACACAUUCAAAUAAAAACAAAUGUAAUUUCAUAUUGCUGAUUAUUACAUUUUAAUCAAGUUAUAAGUUAUAAUACUAUUAUAAGUCUGUUUAUUUUAAUCAGUGUUUCAGUCAGUGAUCCUGCACCUCGAAUACAACUGAUGACUAUUGACUACAUCUUGGAUAAGUUUCCUACAUUAACAUUUUGCACCUAAAGCAUCCAAUACAGACACUGAUGUACGACGUUGAUGUUACAAGUCUAAAGCAUAUAAAGUGAAUAAACUAGUCAUAAUCAACUCACCCUUUUUACAAAAACAUAAUCCAGCUCAUAACAAUUUAAAAUAUAUUCUGCAUGCACAAUAUUCAAUAGUAAAAUUAAUUUACAUCUCUCGACUGAAAGGUUUUUGCAUAUUUUAAUAAAAAUGGAGUCUGCAGUUGUGUCAUUAAGGCAUGUCCAGCACCUGGUAAGAUAUUUAAACUGCGGGAUCCUUAGUAAGUUCAGGAGAAGCGAUCUAUUUACAGGAGUCUUUAGUUAUGUGUAAGUGUGUGUUUAUAUCAUUGUUUCACUUUGUUUUAGAAUAGUAUUCAUCACUAGACUUGUGCUGUUUGUUUACUGUGUUGUGUACUGUUUUGAACUCAUGUCGCUUCAGCGUGUGUGUGUGAGCUACAUUGUUUUGACUUGUCCUAGGGUAUUUACUGCUAGGUUUAGAUUUGUUUGUUUACUGUGUCUCUUAACAGUGAUUCACUUGUUUUAGAGUAUUAUUUAUUGCCAAGUUUAGCAUUGUUUGUUUACGGUAUACUGAAGUUGCGUUUGUUCCCACGUUUGUCAUCUCGCACGACCCUUAGUUUAGGUUAACUACAUGACUGUUUUGUUGUGCUAAGCAACAUUAAGGCGUGUCCAGAUUUUUUCACUUAACGACACAAUAGCAGCGUGUAAUUACUGACGUUAAUGCUGAUGCAGAAGCAGCAGCGGAAGUGGCAGCCCUCUUGUGAAGACUAGCGAGUCUAAUGAUGCGAGUCCACCGAGCAAGGACACUCACCAUAGCACUUAAGUAUCUUUUUUCAUUUUUUACUGUUUUCCUUAUACAUUCCCAUAUGUCUACUCCAUACAUAACACGUGCCCUCAAGCACAUCCCUGUUAUCUGUUACAGACAGUUCACACAAUGCUGAUGCAGGACGCAUCGCAACCCACACAACCUACAGUCAUUUUGCACAUUAGCAGCUGCUCUGCUCUCAUUUUCGGUUGGACUCUGGAACUGCCAGUCAGCUGUGAAUAAAGCUGUCCUCUCUCCACUAGGCCAGCACGUAUGACACCGCCCAGCCCCUGGCUCUCUGGCGUUCUUCGUGAACAUCGUACUGACCUCAAGACAGCUGAGAGGAGUUGGCAGAAAUCUAAAGAUCCAGCAGAUUUGAAACAAGCUGCUGGAUGACAAACAGUCAGGUUUCAAAAGUGGACAUUCCACAGAGACUGCCCUGCUCUCUGUUACUGAGUCACUGACAGGUGAGAGCUGGAUCCAGAUCAUCUGUCCUGAUUCUACUGGACCUUUCUGCAACCUUUGACACAGUAAACCAUCAGAUCCAAUUGUCUACCCUCUCUACUCUGGGCAUCACAGGAACUGUGAUUUGCUGGUUUAAGUCCUGUCUCUCAGCCCAACGACACCAAGGUGAUUGCUCGAAUCUCAGCCUGUUUGGCAGACAUCUCAGCCUGGAUGAAGGAACACCACCUGCAACUUAACCCAGCGAAGACUGAGCUCCUCAUCUUUCCAGCCAACCCUGCUGUUGAACACAACAUCACCGUUCAGCUGGGUUCAACUACAAUAACACCUUCUAAAACGGUCAGAAAUAUAGAGGUAACCAUGGACAACCAACUCAGUUUCAAAGACAGUACGGCCAUUUAGAUUUACAAUCUACAAUAUCAGGAAAAUAAGACCCUUCCUCUCUGAACAUGCCACACAACUUCUUGUCAGUCACUUGACAUAACUAGACUGGACUACUGUAACCCUCUCAUUGUAGGCCUCCCUGCUUGCACAAUUAGAUGCGGAGUAUGCAGCAGCACUUCUGGUCUUCAAUGAACCAAAGAGAGCACAUGUUACACCACUCCUUGUCUCUCUACACUGGCUGCCGGUUGAUUCACAUAUCAAAUUCAAGGCACUGAUGCUGGCAUACAGAACAGUCUCUUUGUCUGCUCCAGUGAACCUAAAAUCAUUUCUGCAGAGCUACAUUCCCACCAGAAGCCUGUGGUAGGCUAAUGACGGCACCUUGUUAUACCAACACAAAGAGGCACCAAAACACUUUCCCAGACUUUCAGUAUCACUGUACCUCGUUGGUGGAAUGACCUUCCCAACUCCAUCCAUGAAGCAGAUUCACUCUUUGUCUUCAAAAAACUGCUAAAAACACAUCUUUUCCAUGAGCACUUAACCAUGAACUCAUAGUAUAUACUUUUAUAUAUUCUUGUUGCACUCUAAUCUGUCUUGGAUACCACUAUUCUGAUGCUAGUGAAACUUUGUAAUGCAGCACUUUUCGUACUGCUGUCUCCUUAAGAUGAAUUGCUUUUGAUGUAUUAUUCCUCUUUUGUA